rnacentral:rRNA from 1 species
GCCAGCAGCCAUAUCAUCCUGCAGCUCACACUAAGCAGGUGAGCUUGGUUAGCACCUGGAUGGGAGACCUCCUGGGAAAAACGAAGGCUGCUGCUGGAA